GUGAGGAAUAUUGCGCAAUGGAGGCAACUCUGACGCAGCCAUGCCGCGUGCGGGAAGAAGGCGCUACGCGUUGUAAACUGCUUUUAACCGGGAAGAAACCCCAGGACGUGUCCUGGGUUGACGGUACCGGAGGAAUAAGCACCGGCUAACUUCGUGCCAGCAGCCGCGGUAAUACGAAGGGUGCAAGCGUUAUCCGGAUUCAUUGGGUUUAAAGGGUGCGUAGGCGGAGCGUUAAGUCAGUGGUGAAAUCCUGCAGCUUAACUGUAGACUUGCCAUUGAUACUGGCGCUCUUGAGUGCGCUUGAAGUGGGCGGAAUGUGCCGUGUAGCGGUGAAAUGCUUAGAUAUGGCACAGAACACCAAUUGCGAAGGCAGCUCACUAAGGCGAUACUGACGCUGAGGCACGAAAGCGUGGGGAUCGAACAGGAUUAGAAACCCGUGUAGUCC
rnacentral:rRNA from 1 species